AUUAAGCUUCUACACCUAACUUUUUUCUUAAUCCAACAUCGAGGUCGCAAUCUAUUUUAUCAAUAUGAACUCUCCAAAAUAAUUACGCUGUUAUCCCUAAAGUAACUUAUUUUAUUAAUCAUUAAUAAUUAAUCAAUAAUUCAUAAAUUAAUGAUUCUAAUUUAUAAAAGUUUAUUAAAUUUUACUAUCUCCCCAACAAAAUAUUAAAUAUAAAUACUAUAAAAAAUUCUAAAUAAAUAAAUAUUUAAAUUUAAUAUAAAGAUUUAUAGGGUCUUCUCGUCUUUUAACUUAAUUUUAGCUUUUUUACUAAAAAAUAAAAUUCAAUUAUAUUUUUAUUGAAACAGUUUAUAUUUCAUCCAACCAUUCAUUCCAGUUUCCAAUUAAAAAACUAAUGAUUAUGCUACCUUUGUACAGUCAAUAUACUGCAGCCAUUUAAAAAUUCAGUGGGCAGGUUAAACCUUAUAUUUAAUCAUAAAGAGAUGUUUUU
rnacentral:rRNA from 1 species